rnacentral:rRNA from 1 species
GGUCAAGCGAGAAAGGGCGCGUGGUGGAUGCCUAGGUGCUGAGGGCCGAAGAAGGGCGUGGCAAGGCUGCGAAAAGCCUCGGUAAGCUGUCCAGCAAGCGUAGCCGGGGAUACCCGAAUGGGGCAACCCGUCCUUCCUUAUAGAAGGACACCCUUGUCCGAACACAUAGGGCAAGAGGGGGUAAGCAGGGGAACUGAAACAUCUCAGUACCCUGAGGAAAAGAGAGGAUUCCCCUAGUAGUGGCGAACGAAAGGGGAAGAGCCCAAACCGUAGUGGCUGAGUGGUCUGCCGGCCUAAGCCGCUACGGGGUUGUCAGGGGAUACCCCAAGAAAUCUUUUAUUUCUUGGGGGCCCCAAGGUACAUCUAGAGGGGCGGCGGCACCCUCGAAGGAGUAAGAAACCUUCCUUCUAGCUGAAGGAACCUGGAAAGGGCCACCGUAGAAGGUGAGAGUCCUGUAGGCGAAAGGGGGGAGGCUCCUGGUGUAGCCUUAAGUACCACGGGACACGAGGAAUCCUGUGGGAAGCAGGGGGGACCACCCUCCAAGGCUAAAUACUCUCAGCGACCGAUAGUGAACGAGUACCGUGAGGGAAAGGUGAAAAGGACCCCGGGAGGGGAGUGAAAUAGAACCUGAAACCGCGUGCCUACAAGCGGUCAGAGCCCUUCACUCUGUGAAGGGUGAUGGCGUGCCUAUUGAAGAAUGAGCCGGCGAGUUAAUCUGCGUGGCGGAGAGGUUAAGCGUAUCUUACGUGGAGCCGAAGCGAAAGCGAGUCUGAAGAGGGCGCCGGGGCAUCCCAAGAGAUCUUUGAUUUCUUGGGGCCCUAAGUCGUGCAGAUUAGACCCGAAACCGGGUGAGCUACCCAUGGUCAGGGUGAAGCGGAGGUAAAGCUUCGUGGAAGCUCGAACCUGUUAGCGUUGCAAAGCUAUAGGAUGAACUGUGGGUAGGGGUGAAAUGCCAAGCGAACCCGGAGAUAGCUGGUUCUCCCCGAAAUGCAUUUAGGUGCAGCCUCAGGUGGUGAACUAUGGAGGUAGGGCACUGGAUGGGCUAGGGGGCUAACCGCUUACCAAACACAACCAAACCACGAAUGCCAUAGUUGGGUUGCCCAUUGAAAUCUAGGAUUUCAAUGGGAGCCCGAGAACCUGGGAGUGAGACUGCGGGGGAUAAGCUUCGUAGUCGAGAGGGAAACAGCCCAGACCAUCAGCUAAGGCCCCCAAGUGUAGACUAAGUGGUAAAGGAAGUUGGGCUACCCAGACAAUCAGGAGGUUGGCUUAGAAGCAGCCAUCCUUUAAAGAGUGCGUAAUAGCUCACUGGUUAAGUGGUGCUGCGCCGAAAAUCCAACGGGGCUCAAGUCUGUCACCGAAGCUAUGGCUUUCCUUCUUUGGAAGGAGAGGGUAGGGGAGCGUUCUCUUAAGCUGUGAAGCUAC